rnacentral:lncRNA from 1 species
CACAGGUAUGCUUCUCUUUAAACAUAAUUGAACACAGACCGGGUGCAGUUUUGCAGUCUUGAGCAUUACCUUAUACCGUUUGCAUACCUGCCUAUCAAUAUGUAUUUUUGAGUACUUGAAAAUGUUUUUAUGUUUACCCUAGAAGACCUUUCUGUCCAAGAAAUUACAAAAGUUACACUUGCUGCUGGCAAAGCAUUCAGAUUUUGAGAAAUUACAAAGUACAAAACAAAUGAUACUUAAAUCACAAGAAAAAAAUCACUUGAAAAAUAUCCUUGCCAUGCACUCUUAUCUCUCCACUUUGCACACGUAUGUGCUUUUAAAAAAUAAUGUUCAAAUCCCUUUUAACUUUAAGCAUUAAAACAAGUUUUCCUACCUUGUAGCUUGAAGGCUUUUAAAAACAUCAUCAAAUAUUCUUUGGAAUGCCCACAUGCUUUACAAUUUUGUCACCUGUUUUUGCAUUUGUAGAAACAAUCAUGCUUCUUUACAAUGUACCUGCUACAACAGCCAUAUACGAAGAAGUGAAACGAGGGCACAGGUAAUGCCACCUCCAGCAAACAAGGACUUUUGAAAUGUGGGUUCAUCUUCAAUCCUCUUCAUUUGUUUUUGGUUCCCAUCAGCUCGUGCAAAGUCAGAUCUUUUAACAGACGUGCUAACCGUUCUUGGCUUGGCUGGAUAGUCCCAUUUGUCUCCCAGGUUCUCCCAGCUCCCAUUUGGGUGCACCUGAGACCUCCAGCAAGCACAUCUGCUCCUGCUAUAAGGCACCAGGUAUUGUCCUAUUCUCUGUGCUCAGACUCUGCUACCAAAUAGGGCCCAGGUCCCAGGGCAAGGGAACACCACGUGCUCAAAGGGGCUGAGAGAGAGAGACCCACAGGUCGAGUACUUUGUUGGUGGUUUCCUCUAGUCCCGCCCACAGCGUACGAAUACCAAAACUCCACCCCACGACUUCCUGUGCCCGGACUUCCUGGCGGCUCCUGGCGGUCUCGCCUUCCCACCCGCCGCCUCCUACGCCAGGACCCCACCUUCAUCCGGAAUUCCAGGUUUUGGAAAAUAAAGGUGAAGAACCAUAAAAGACAGAAAUGGCAGUUACAGAGAAGGUAACUGGAGAAGAGGGGAGGAGAAAGAAGGAGAAAAGAAAGAGGUGUACACUUGAAAUCA